rnacentral:miRNA from 1 species
AACCUCAUCGACCAGAAGGGAUUCCUUCCAGUCGAUGAGGUGUAACAACCUCAUCAACCGGGAGGAAUCCCUUCCGGUUGAUGAGGUG